GAUGAACGCUAGCGACAGGCUUAACACAUGCAAGUCGAGGGGCAGCGGGGUAGGAAGCUUGCUUUCUGCCGCCGGCGACCGGCGCACGGGUGAGUAACACGUAUGCAACCUGCCCCUGUCAGGGGGACAACCCGCCGAAAGGCGGGCUAAACCCGCGUACAUGCCACCGGGGCAUCCCGGAGGCAGGAAAGGCUUCGGCCGGACAGGGAUGGGCAUGCGGCGCAUUAGGCAGUAGGCGGGGUAACGGCCCACCUAACCGACGAUGCGUAGGGGUUCUGAGAGGAAGGUCCCCCACACUGGUACUGAGACACGGACCAG
rnacentral:rRNA from 1 species